CCCCCAAUGGGCCCCAAAAGUGACCCCAAUAGGACCCCAAUGUGUGACCCCCAAUGUGACCCCAAAGUGUGAGCUGAAGUGACCCCAAUGUGACCCAAAACUGACCCCAAACUGACCUCAGACUGUGACCCCGAUGGGACCCCAAAGUGUGAGCUGAAGUGACCCCAAUUUGACCCCAAUAGGACCCCAAUGUGUGAUCCCGAUGUGACCCCAAUGGGACCCCAAUGUGACCCCAAUGUGACCCCACUUGUGACCCCAAGUGGCCUCAAAUGACCCCAAAGUGUGACCUGAAGUGACCCCAAUGUGUGACCCCAAGUGACCUGAAGUGACCCCAAAGUGUGACCUGAAAUGACCCCAAGGUGA
ensembl:lncRNA